ACGAACGCUGGCGGCGUGCCUAAUACAUGCAAGUAGAACGCACAGUUUAUACCGUAGCUUGCUACACCAUAAACUGUGAGUUGCGAACGGGUGAGUAACGCGUAGGUAACCUGCCUGGUAGCGGGGGAUAACUAUUGGAAACGAUAGCUAAUACCGCAUAAUAUUAAUUAUUGCAUGAUAAUUGAUUGAAAGAUGCAAUUGCAUCACUACCAGAUGGACCUGCGUUGUAUUAGCUAGUAGGUGGGGUAACGGCUCACCUAGGCGACGAUACAUAGCCGACCUGAGAGGGUGAUCGGCCACACUGGGACUGGGACACGGCCCAGACUCCUACGGGAGGCAGCAGUAGGGAAUCUUCGGCAAUGGACGAAAGUCUGACCGAGCAACGCCGCGUGAGUGAAGAAGGGUUUCGGAUCGUAAAGCUCUGUUGUAAGAGAAGAACGGGUGUGAGAGUGGAAAGUUCACACUGUGACGGUAUCUUACCAGAAAGGGACGGCUAACUACGUG
rnacentral:rRNA from 1 species